rnacentral:rRNA from 1 species
AUGAUGAUCUUCAACGAUGACGGCACAUAUGACUCAAUGAGUGAAGAAGAAAUGGAAGCCAUUGAACACGUGGCCAUGCACCGACGCGUGAAUGAAGAUGAAGAUGACCAAGUCUUUUGUGACAAUGAUUCAAGUCCCUUUCUCAUGGUCUCCAAGGUCUUGACGCUCCAACACCACCAAGAAGAAGACCAACGGUGCCACAUCUUCCACACCAAGGCCGGCAUCAACGGAAGGUCCGUCAAGGUCAUCAUCGAUGGAGGUAGUUGCCACAAUUUGGCAAGUGAAGAACUAUGCUCCAAGCUUCAAUUGGUCAAGAGGAAGCAUCCGCACCCUUACAAGGUUCAAUGGCUAAGUGACUCCGGCACUAUCCGAGUUGAGCAUACGGUCCAAGUCUCCUUCAAAAUUGGUGCAUAUGAGGACACCUUGGAGUGUGAUGUGCUCCCAAUGACUGUUUGCCACCUCCUUCUUGGUAGAGCACGGCAAUUCGACCGUGGUGUUAUCCACAAUGGGCGUACCAAUCACUAUAGCUUCAAUAUGAAAGGGAAGGAAUAUGUGCUACGACCUAUGUCUCCUAGUCAAGUGAUAGCCGACAAGCAAGCCACCCACCAUGGAGAGAAGAGUGAGAAAGUGAGCCACCCAAACGUGAGUGAGAGCCACAAGCCAAACUUGAGCGCCUCUUCGCCUGGAGAGAAAAACCCCAUACUAUUUGCCACGAAAAGUGAGAUGAGAGAAGUGUGUGAGAACCCAUCGAGUGUGAUGCACUUUGUCCUUGUGUGCAAGGAUGGAGAACCAAAAACUAACACCGCUCACGAGCUACCUUUGGUGUUUCAAUCUCUUUUGCAGGAAUUUCAAGAUGUUUUCCCCGAUGAGCUACCUCCGGGUCUUCCUCCUCUUCGAGGCAUUGAGCAUCGAAACGACCUCAUCCCCGGAACUCCUCUUCCAAACAAGGCUCCCUACCGCGUCAACCCCGAAGAGACAAAGGAGAUUCAACGGCAAGUACAACAACUCAUCGAGAACGGUCAUGUACGUGAAAGCUUAAGCCCUUGUGCCGUUCCCGUUAUACUUGUGCCCAAGCAAGAUGGUAGCUUUCGCUUGUGUUCCAAUUGUAGACCCAUAAAUGUUAUUACCAUUAGCUAUAGGCAUCCUAUUCCUCGCUUAGAUGAUAUGCUUGCUGAACUUAGUGGAGCCAACUUUUUCUCAAAAAUUGAUCUUAAAAGUGGCUAUUAUCAAAUCCGCAUACAACAGGGUGAUGAAUGGAAAACCACUUUCAAAACCAAAUUUGGCUUAUAUGAAUGGUUAGUCAUGCCUAUGGGUUUAUCGGAGGCUCCCGGUACUUUCGUGCAUCUCAUGCAUCAUGUACUUCGCCCUUAUAUUGGAGUCUUUGUUGUGGUUUACUUCGAUGAUAUUCUUGUGUUUAGCAAAACCAUGAAAGAGCAUAUUAAUCAUGUUAGGGCUGUUUUGCAAACCCUUCGCAAGGAAAGUCUUUAUGCCAACAUGAAAAAGUGCACAUUUGGUGUUGAUAAAGUGGUUUUCUUGGGUUUUGUUGUAUCUUCCAAGGGUGUCCAUGUUGAUGAAACUAAAAUUGAAGCAAUUAAAAAUUGGCCCCAACCACCAAUUUGCAACAAGUGCGAAGUUUUCUUGGCCUUGCGGGUUUUUAUUGUCGCUUUGUGA